ACAUACGACCAUAGGACCAUGAAAACAGAGCUUCCCGUCCGCUCAGCUGUACUUAAGCAUGGUACCGGCGGAUUAGUAGUUAGGUGGGUGACCACUAGCGAAUACCUGCUGUUGUAUGUUU
rnacentral:rRNA from 1 species